UUGUUAUACAUAUCUAAAAACCGAAAAACUUUUAGGCGAAAAAGGCACUAUUCCAGGCCCAUUUUUGAUUUUUUUUUGCGAUAUUAGAUUCACAGCCAGCUUCAAAAUGUCAAAUGUGUCACCUGACGGCAAGAAUGCAAAGAACGCCAUCUGUCGUCACUGUCCCUGCAAAAUCCUCCUAGCUGGCGACAGCAACCACAGGGAAUUUGAAGAACAGCUCCCUGCCGAAGACGGUAAUGAAACAUGCACAGUGAAAAGCUGGUGGCAAGUCGAUGACAUGUAUAGUUUCUACAAUAUCGGCUUCAGCAAGACCGUGGGUAAUAAGAAGUACCUCGUGUGUGCUGACUGUGAGCGGGGACCGAUCGGUUACCACGACCUCGAGACGAAAAAGAGCUAUCUCGCCACUGAAAUGGUGGGGUAUUCACAAUGAUGGUCGCCUCUUGUUCUGUGAGAUACAUGGUGAUUUGGUUGUUGUCUGUAAUUGAACGCGUCAUGCUAAGCUACGCUUGCCUGGUUUUUGUCACUGGGCUGUAGUAAUGCAAGAGCUUUUUUCCAUUGUCAUCGCAUUGUAUUUACUGCCUUGUAAGUGCUUGUGUGGGGUAAACUGUUGCAUUGUUCAUCAUUGUUAAAGCUACACCAUCCGAGGCCGGGUUACAAGGUUCGAACUUUUAUUCGUCGUUUGUCGGUAGGUUGAUUCGACCCCAGUUUAUUGUGUAAUGUACCUUUUUUGCCCUAAGCUUUAUCCAUUCCAGAUCUUGCUAUUUUACGCUGUACGCCACCACCGCUGCAGCUAUGAACAUUGAACAGACGAGGCCGGGCCGAAGGCCGACCGAUCUUCACUUAUCACUAGUGCACGCACCAACUACGGGCAAUGAAUAAUUGAGUCGGACUAAGAUGUAGCAUGUGCGACCGUAUCUAAGUACCGAGCCGAUGAAAACCGCUUUAUCCGUCUGCAUUAGGCAAUUGAUCAUAGAUAUUCGUAUAAUAAAUGGUACAUAACAAA
rnacentral:lncRNA from 1 species